UGGAAUCCCAAAUUGGAUAUUUAAAAUAGAAAAUAUUAGAAAACCUAAGGGAUUUUUUUUCUAUUACUGGUUUCUAUAAGAUGUUUUAUCAGAUGUUGAAUGAAAUGAUACAAAGAUCCAGAAGGCCGACAUAAGGGCAUAAGAUUCAUGAACCAUUGAGAAUAGAGUUCAACUUCUCUUGUAUCCAUCCCCUGUAAAGCACUGACUAAAAAUAAUAGUGAAAAGUAGAUAAUGCUCUAACAAUUCUGGUACUGAAAAUGGGUAACUGACAAAGCUUGUGUCGUAUCAUCGGUAUCUCAUCAAAAUUGCAAACUUUUCUAUGGUUUACAGGGUUUGGGGAUAAAGUGAAGCAGUGUCUAUCUUAGUUUCUUCUAGAACUAAAAGAGUGCCGGCCAUAUGUAGGCACUCUGAUAAUAUUUGCUAAAUUCAUAAAAAAAUAAAAGAUUAUAUAUGGUCUGUGAAAAUAGAUGUAAACAAUUUUGAUGGCUGAAGUGCAGAGGAAAACACACCCCCGUGGCCUCACUGACAGGUUUAUGAACCUGUGGUCUGGCUGCCCAGGCCCUAUAGAAGUGGAGGAGUUCUGUUUGUUGGAUUUUUACUUAAAAAAAAAAAAAA